rnacentral:tRNA from 1 species
UCCCUGGCAGUCCAAUGGUUAAGACUCCACACUUCCACUGCAGAGGGCACAGGUUCAAUCCCUGGUCAGGGAA